rnacentral:rRNA from 1 species
UACAACAGCCAUAUCACCCUGCAGCCCAAGAGCGCUCACCCACUGAAACUAAGCAGGGCUGAGCCUGGUCAGUAACUAGAUGGGAGACUACAUGGGAAAACUAGGUUGCUGUUGGAA